rnacentral:rRNA from 1 species
CAUAGCAAGGGCCGGGCAAGACCGGUGCCAGCCGCCGCGGUAACACCGGCGGCUCGAGUGGUAACCGUUAUUAUUGGGUCUAAAGGGUCUGUAGCCGGCCGGAUAAGUCUCUUGAGAAAUCCGGCAGCUCAACUGUCGGGCUUUCAGGAGAUACUGUUCGGCUCGAGGCCGGGAGAGGUGAGAGGUACUUCAGGGGUAGGGGUGAAAUCUUGUAAUCCUUGAAGGACCACCAGUGGCGAAGGCGUCUCACCAGAACGGACCUGACGGCAAGGGACGAAAGCUAGGGGCACGAACCGGAUUAGAUACCCGGGUAGUCCUAGCCGUAAACGAUACUCGCUAGGUGUCGGCCACGGUGCGACCGUUGUCGGUGCCGUAGGGAAGCCGUGAAGCGAGC